UCUACAUUUUUGAAAGAGAAGAAUUAAGUUUGAGAAAGAUGUUUUUAAAACUUUGAAACUCAUAAUUCCUCUGUUUUUGCUGUUGUUAGUGGCAUAAGAAGGGACUGGCUGUGUUAUUCUGCAUAUUGCAGUUCUUGUCAAUGACCUGGUAAGUCUUUCCUUACCCUAGUAAAAUGUUAAAAUUGCCUGAGAUGUGACAAGCAUUUUGUUUGGAACCUGUAAAGCCCUAGCAUUUCAUCUGGUGUUUUGGAGCCAGACAGGCCCUGCAGGGUCAGAGGAGGGGAGGUCUGGGAUGAGUCCUGUUGGACUUGACAGCGUGGCUCAGUGGUACUGUUAGGGAGAAGUAUGGAGUGCUGUGCUCAUAUAGUUACAUAGUGAUAUGUUCUGCCUUUUUGUAAUGUGAGAAAGAGAAAUAAAGGUAGGUGAUGCCAUGUGAAUGUAUAAAAGUGAGACCAAAUCACAGAGUGAGACCAAGGGAAGAUGAGUUUACCUGCAUUCUCCACUCUAUUGUUGGAUAAAUACAAGGUGGAAUUUAUCCUAAUGUUGACUCUGUGGGCCUGUGAUAUCUGGAGAUGUCUUCUGAAUUGGCAGUGAUUAAAUACUUCUUAAGUUACUGGUUGAGCAUCACAAAUCCAAAAUGCUUCAGGAUCCAAAAGUUCUUUUUUUUUUUUUUUUGAGGCAGAGUUUCACUCUGUCACCCAGGCUGGAGUGCAGUGGCAUUAUCUUGGCUUACUGCAACCUCUGCCUCCCGGGUUCAAGUGAUUCUCGUGCCUCAGCCUCCCAAGUAGCUGGGAUUACAAAUGUGAGGCACCAUGCCCAGCCCAAAAUCCAAAACUUCUUGAACACUGACAUGAUGCUCAGAUUUGGUUGAUACUCAACCAGUAAAUGUAAUGCAGAUAUUCCAAAAAUCCAGAAAAAUCCAGUAUCCAACACAUUUCUAGUCCCUAUCAUUUCAGAUCAGAGAUGCUUCACCUGCACUGCCUUUCCCACUCCACUUUUGUGAAUAUUCAGUCAUGCCCUGGUUUCUGCUCAGACUCUCCUCCUUGUAGCCUUUUUGUGUCUCGCACAGUAAGAGUUCAUCUGCAUAAAGGCCAUAAAUAUCUGGGCGGUUGAUUAAACGUGCCCUACAGCUCCUGCACUCUUCUGUGUUAGUGAAGAGUACUUUUCCUUUUCUUUUAGAGCAGCUUUUGCUUCCUAAUUUUUGCUUCCAGGUUUUGCCAUUUUACAUUCCUCUUACGCGAUGUUACCCAGUUUGGGAUCACCUUUCUUUUGGCCCUCUUUCUACUGACAGAUGAGAUAUCCAUGAAUGUUAAAUGUAAUUCUCUGUAUAUCUCAAAUUCACCAUAAAAUGUUCUUUACUUUUUUUCACUGAUAUGUGAAGAAACUUAAUCUCUUGGUUAUUUUCUCUAGUAUUUUGCCUUUUAUUGCCUAAUUUGUACCUAAUGAUUGAUUUAUCCCCAAAGGAGACUAUAAUUAUCAGUUGUGGUACAGUUUCUAUUUUAUUAUAAGAAGCUCAAACUUUAGCAUGCACCAGAAUCACCUAGAGAGUUUGUUUAAAGUGCAGGUUGCUUGUUAAAGCAGGCUUGUGAUUUAGGAGGUUUAAGGUAGGACCUAAUAAUUUACAUUUUUAACAAGUUCCCAGAUGAUGCUCUCACUGCUGGUCGGGGUCACACUUUGAGAACCACUGUACAGUCUCAUGCUGCUGUAUUUAUUAUAAGGUUAGACAUGGCCUCUUGGCAUAAAGAAAAACCAUCAUUCAGAUGAAGAUUCAACAUGCUUGAAUAUUUCUUGCAGGUAUAGCCUGUCGUACAUCCCAUAUGCAAGGGAUGCAGUUAUUAAAUGCUGUUCUUCUCUCCUAAGUUGAAAAUCAGAAACUCGUGGAAAAGAGCACUUGAAUGUUGAUACUCUAUGUUUGGUGAAGUUUGCUUUUCCCCAUAAAAUACUCCAGGAACAACUGACUUGACAGUUGAAGACCGUUUUGUACUAAGUCUCAUUUUGUAUACUGGUAAAAACUACAUGCUUGAUUAAACCAUUAAAUGCUUGUAACUUUAAA
rnacentral:sRNA from 1 species